rnacentral:rRNA from 1 species
GACGAACGCUGGCGGCGUGCUUAACACAUGCAAGUCGAACGGAAAGGCCCUGCUUUUGUGGGGUGCUCGAGUGGCGAACGGGUGAGUAACACGUGAGUAACCUGCCCUUGACUUUGGGAUAACUUCAGGAAACUGGGGCUAAUACCGGAUAGGAGCUCCUGCUGCAUGGUGGGGGUUGGAAAGUUUCGGCGGUUGGGGAUGGACUCGCGGCUUAUCAGCUUGUUGGUGGGGUAGUGGCUUACCAAGGCUUUGACGGGUAGCCGGCCUGAGAGGGUGACCGGCCACAUUGGGCCUGCGAUACGGCCCAGACUCCUACGGGAGGCAGCAGUGGCGAAUAUUGCACAAUGGGCGGAAGCCUGAUGCAGCAACGCCGCGUGCGGGAUGACGGCCUUCGGGUUGUAAACCGCUUUCGCCUGUGACGAGGCGUGAGUGACGGUAAUGGGUAAAGAAGCACCGGCUAACUACGUG